rnacentral:lncRNA from 1 species
GACCUAAAUUUUUUUAAUCAAAGGAUUCCAGGCAUGUCAGCCAUAUUUUGAUAUAUAAAAUUAUCAUGUGGAGUCUUAAUUUAGAAGACUUCAGAUGUUACCAAAUAUAUAAUACCAUAGAAAUUAGGAUGACUUGAGGAUUAAAUAUUAUUUUUUGAGAUGGAUUUGUAAACAUUCAGUUUUAAUUAAUAGAAGACAUUUUCACUGCUUCAAUUGUGAAUUGGUCUGGAACUUUUCAUCUGGGGCUAAUAAGAGGUCUCUAAAAGGAUGAAAUUGUUAUAAAAACAAACAAAAACAGAGAAAUUUCUAGCUAGAGAAUAUAAAAGCUGAAUUUUAAAACACUUUGUACAUUGAAUUUAUUUUCUUUGUAGUGGGGAGAGGGAGACCUGUGUGCUGGGGGAUUCAUGUCCCAUGACACACAUGUAGAGGACAGUCAGUUCUUCCAUUGUGUGAGUCAGGUUACCAGGUUUGCAUAGCAAACAUUUUUAUCCACUGAGUUAUCUGCUGCUCCCACCUUUUUUACUUACUGUUUUUAAUGAGAUUUUUUUUUCUUUUUAAGAAUUAAUUUUGGAAUUAUAAUAUAGUUAAAUUAUUUACCUUUCCCACUACUCCCUCCAAUCCCUCUUAUACACCUUCUUCUUGCUCUUUCAAAUUCAUAGCCUUUUUUUCAUUUAAAUGCAUAUAUGUAUGUACACACACACACACACUCCUAAAUAUAACCUAUCCAGUCUAUAUAGUGUUACUUGUAUGUGUGUUUUUAGGGAUGACCAUUUGUUAUUAAAUAACCAGUUGGUGUGUUCUUUCCUGACAAACAUUUCUCCUACUUUUAGGUAUUCCUUAGUUACUUGUAGUUCUUUUGUAGUGUUGAGGCCUUGUGGACUUUCUAAAUGAAAUAAUUUCUUUAGAAUAAUGAACUGAGGUUGAGUACACUGAACUGUCAGUCAAUAAAGUAGCUGAUGGAUUUUAGUUAACAAGCAAUUUUUCCUAUUUGAGUGCCAGGAACCAAACUUGGGACAUCUAAAGGAGAAUAGUAAUCAUUCUUACCUACUGAGGCGUUUCUCUUCAAUCCUAGUUUGCUGGUUUUUCCCCUUUUCUUCUUCCCUCCAGACUCUUCCCCUCCCCUCUUUUCUCCACCCUCCUUUUGAGACAGGGUCCCAUUAGUAGCCUAGGUUACUCUCCAAUUCGUAAUCCUAUCUCAUAGUUCUAGGGUUACAGGCAGGUACUACCACUGCUGGUCUUAUGUGGUCUUUUCUUAAAGAUAUAUUUAAGGUUAAGUGUCAGUUCACAAGUUCAAUUUGUUUGAUUUUGUUUUUCCAGUCCCUUUCAGAAUUGCUUGAUAUGGUGAUGUAGGGGAAAGAGAGGGCCUUUAGUUUGUUCAAUUGUCCUGAGGCACUGGAACAUUGGAUAGCCUCAGUUUCCUCUGAAAUUAAUCAGUGUUGAGGACACUGCUCCAUGAUGUUGUCCUCAGCAGAGUUCCCCUAAGCCUUUAAAGGAUCUUGACUCAGGUUCAACUGGGACUCUUAGCUUUGAUGCAGAAAAGAAUUCUAAGCUUAGCUGAACGAUAUAAGCAGAAUGGAAGAGUUUAUUGUUAUUUCUUUAAAAUAGUGUGUGUGAGUGUGCACAUACACGCACAUAAGCACGUAUGCCACUGCAUGCAUGUAGAGGUCAGUGAACAAACUUUGUGGUGUUGGUUUUACUUUUAUGUGUGUUCUAGGAAUGAGCUCUGGCUUAUAUGGCAAGUGUCUUAAAAACUCACCCAUCUUGUUGGCCUUAAAGAUAUUUUAAUGAAAACGAAUCAUGAGUGUCUGAG